GUUGAUUCCAAGCGUGAACCUGAGGGGCCGUGACGGUGUCUGUCCAUGUUCAUGCAAACACAUGGUCUUGGGAGCUCAGACCUGACUGCAUACACCAGAGCGUUCGAGAGGUUGUACCCGGCUCUGUGCUACACCAGGCGUGACAACUACAUAUAAACACCAAUUUUAUUAUUAUUAUAAUUUAAAUAAUACAGAUUAUUAUAUUUAAUUAUUUUAUUGAUAUUGAAUGAUAUUUGUUUGCUGAAAAUAAAAAAAUGUUAAAAGGA